AAACUGACAGAUUUGGACCAUUAAUGUAGAAGGAAAAAAAUUUCAAUCCAAGUGCCCUGUUAAAUAUCACAGUCCACUGAUGAGUUUCUUAGUGACUUUCAUUCAGCUUUCUAAAACCUGAAAUAGAACCUCUAAGCACCCUUGCUAGCCAAGGUACAGAAAAGAGCUGCACUCAUUUGAUGGAAGAGAAAAGGCACCAUUUCAUUUCACUCCUCGUCACGGGUUGGAAGGAACCUAUUCAAUUCCUAGAAAGAAGGAUCAGGAAAUGAUGAAUGGGUGCUAUGCCUCUGUGUCAAGGGCUCAGAAAGGGAGGCAGUGUGAUGUUGGCUGCAACGCUGUGUUGGUCAGGAAUCUUGGGUUGCAAGAUCCAUAAACUCCACUUAAACCAGCUUAAGCCAAACAAAUGGACAGAGAUUGAAACAAGAUUUCUUUAUGCUGGUAGUUUUACUUUUCCAAUGCCUGCCACGGACAUGGCCACUUUACACGACCUGGUAACCGUUAUUCUACUUUCUGUGUCUAUGAAUGUGACUGUUCCAGGGAUUUCAUGACAUACCGUGCCUCCUCUCCAGAGGACCAGCAUUCAGAGCGCCAUCUUGGAAGCAGAGAGACCAGGCCCUAAUCUGCAGGUGCCUUGA